rnacentral:lncRNA from 1 species
GUCCGCUCCAGCUUCCCUCGUUUUCUCCGUAAGGAAGACUGGCUGCUCCUGGGAGUAUAAGCCGAUUGCCGAGAAGAUGAGGAGGCCACGAGGGAGCACGCAGCUCCCCUUGCCGAACCCGGGCCGCCAAGGGCCCGGAGAGGGUCAGGGUUGGAGACUGAGGAGGACUGAGCCAAGGCUGGGACGUUCCUGUGGCCAGAGCGCCUGUCUCCAGGCCCGGAUCCAUCCACUGGGCCGCCCAGCCGCCCCAGCUCCACUUUCUGCUGUGGGUCACUCGUCUCGCCAACGGGCUGUGCCCGGGCCACUGCGGCCUGCACUGGUCCCUCCCCUCUCCUGGUGCGCUCCGCGGGCAGGCGUGUCCUGGGCUCUCCCAGAGGGUGGCGGCUCUGUUCGGUCCUGCUCUCGCCUCUGCUGGGCUUCACGGGGUUCGGGGCUGGCCGGGCCGGGGGUCAGGAUGGCGGCUGAUCUCCAGGCACCCCGAGCGCCCAGAAGAGAGGGGCCGCGGCUCUGCCUCCUGCUGGGGGGCUUCCAAACAGGCUACAGGCAGCCCAGCCCAGCCCACAUCUGGCAGGGAAGUCCUGCUGGGCGGCCUUGGGGGGGGUUCCUGGUGUCUCUCCGACCGCUGGGGCGUCCUCCAGAGCUUUCCACUGCCCAGGGCAGGAACAGCCCCGAGGCGCCCCCUGGCCAGGCAUCCGGAGGCCCUGCUGCUGCCCUCCUGGGGGGGGGGGACGGCCUGCCCUGGUUGCUCCCGGCUCCCAGCCUUGGGGGCCUCACCCUGACCCCCACUGCGGCUGGCCGGGGAGCCAGCUCAGGAGUUGGUCGGCUUUUCUCCUUCCGGGGGCCUCGUGAUAGGCCUCUCCCUCCUCCAAUCCCCAGAGCUGCUCCGCGGGCGGCAUUUUCCGAGGUCAGACUGAGCCCGGAGACACGGCUCUGCCCCGGGAGGCCCUGAGCAGCGGGAGCUCGGGAGCCCCCAGGCCAGAGCCCAGGCACUCUGGGCCCCCAAGAGCCGCAGCAGCUUCCCUGGAGAAAGGAGAGCGGCCAGCCAGGGAGGGACUGCCCAUCCGGACGCCUUGGCGGAUCAGCCUUCUAACCUAGCAGGGCCCCAGGCGGGCCCUGGGAGCUGGGGAGGCAGAGCUGACGCCAGGGGCCCCGAGUUCAAAUCCCACAUUUUCCUCUUUCUUUUCUGGAGCUCAGGAAGUCUGUUUCACUUCUGAAUUGU